AUUUGUAUUAAGUGUUGCAACUUUGUUUAUAUAAAUGCGGGAAUGGAGGGAACGUGGUUGCUUAAUCCAGACAUUGAUAGUAAGCAUCAUGCUGCGAAAUUAUGUGACGGCAAGCUCGAUCACGUGGUCACUCGCACUCCUAAGGCUUCGUUUGGCGUGAGUGGAUUGGAGGGGUUUCAAGAGGAUUUUCCUCGCGUGGGCCAGAAACCCCAAAAGAAACCGUCGGCCCCUUUGGUACAGGGGGUUUGGAUGGGCGGAUCCUCUCUAAUCCCCUUCGAUCCUCCCGAACCCACGCGACUCAGAACCCUUGUCGAAGGGCUCAGGGAAUCUCUCGACCGAGCGCACGCCGCCAGCCACGGAGGGGAGGAGCCCCGCCGCCGGAUCUUCAACGCCGCCGCCACCAAGGGGAAGAGCCCCGCCGCCGCCACCGAGGGGAGGAGCCCCGCCGGCGAGAGGAGGAGCCCGCCGCCGCCGCCCGAUUCUACCUGACGCCCCGACGCCGCCCGACGCCGGCGUUACUCCUCAAGAAUACUGGCGUUCUCCCUGGUGGUCCCACUGAACCAGGUUGAGAAGUGGAACAAGCAGAGGAAGAAUGUGACAUUGGCAGGGUCCCUCGAAAUCGUCUGUUUGAGAGUCUCGGUUGCUUUUGUGUCUGCGCUACUGCUGUCUUAUGGUUGGAAUUUAUGCUCCUGUCAUGUACUCUCUUCCAACAAUAGUUAAGCAUGCAGAACAUCAAGUGAUGCUUUUUUCUAUAUUGCAUAAAUAGUUAAGCAUGCUUAUGUAUUCUCAGCAUGCUUUUUUCUAUGUUGCAUAAAUAGUUAAGCAUGCUUAUGUAUUCUCAGCAUGCUUAAAUAUACGCAUGUCUUGCCUAGGACUUUUCUCUAUGUUCCAAGUCAUGCUGAUGUAAGAGAAUAUGUUGCUGUUAUGUGACAGCGCAAUUAUGUGAUGAUAUAUUGAUUCCAAGUCAAGCAAAUUAUGUUGUUCAUGUGAA